CGUAGCUCGUGUGCAGGAGCCGGGGAAGUGAAGAGGGGGGAAGCGUUUUUCGGAAUGUUUGGGCGUAAAGGGCGCGUAGGCGGUUUCUGAAGUCGGAUGUGCAAUCCCCGGGCUCAACCCGGGAACUGCAUCCGAGACUGGGAGGAUAGAGUACUGGAGAGGUUGGUGGAAUUCCUCGUGUAGCGGUGAAAUGCGUAGAGAUGAGGAGGAACACCAGUGGCGAAGGCGGCCAACUGGACAGUAACUGACGCUGAGGCGCGAAAGCGUGGGUAGCAGACAGGAUUAGAUACCCCUGUAGUC
rnacentral:rRNA from 1 species